GUAAUAAUUUAAAUAGUUAUCAGAGAUUUUAAUACUGUAAAUACAAGAGUUUAAGGGGUUCCUAGCGGCGGGCAAGCCCGCCGAGGAAACAACAGAGGUACACGUAGACAAAGGGUGGAUGCGAUAACCCCCGAAGGGGCUAUUGCUUUCGUAAUUAAUGAUCCUUCCGCAGGUUCACCUACGGAAA
rnacentral:misc_RNA from 1 species